CCUGAACGCUGGCGGCGUGGCUAAGACAUGCAAGUCGCACGGUGUAGCAAUACACAGUGGCGAACGGGUGAGUAAUGAAUCGCUAACGUGCCCCGGACUCUGGGAUAGCUAUCCGAAAGGGUAGGUAAUACCAGAUGACAUAUCCUGCUCGCAUGAGUGGGAUCUCAAAGGUCCGCCGGUCUGGGAGCGGGCGAUUUCGUAUCAGCUAGUUGGUGAGGUAACGGCUCACCAAGGCGACGACGCGUAGCCGGACUGAGAGGUUGGCCGGCCACAUUGGGACUGAGACACUGCCCAGACUCCUACGGGGGGCUGCAGUAACGAAUCUUCCGCAAUGCACGAAAGUGUGACGGAGCGACGCCGCGUGUGGGAUGAAGUUCUUCGGAAUGUAAACCACUGUCAGGGGUUAGAAGUUCUGAUCAACCCCAGAGGAAGGCACGGCUAACUCUGUGCCAGCAGCCGCAGUAAC
rnacentral:rRNA from 1 species